rnacentral:rRNA from 1 species
UACAGAGGGGGCAAGCGUUGUUCGGAAUUACUGGGCGUAAAGGGCUCGUAGGCGGCCAACUAAGUCAGACGUGAAAUCCCUCGGCUUAACCGGGGAACUGCGUCUGAUACUGGACGGCUUGAGUGUGGGAGAGGGAUGCGGAAUUCCAGGUGUAGCGGUGAAAUGCGUAGAUAUCUGGAGGAACACCGGUGGCGAAGGCGGCAUCCUGGACCAUGACUGACGCUGAUGAGCGAAAGCCAGGGGAGCAAACGGG